rnacentral:rRNA from 1 species
UACGUGAGGGGCGAACGUUGUUCGGUGUCACUGGGCUUAAAGGGCGCGUAGGUGGCUGUGCAAGUAAGGUGUGAAAGCCCUCGGCUUACCCGGGGAAUUGCGCCUUAAACUGCAUGGCUUGAGGGAUUCAGGGGAAUGGGGAAUUCCUGGUGUAGCGGUGAAAUGCGCAGAUAUCAGAAGGAACACCGGUGGCGAAGGCGGGUCUCUGGGCCGAUACUGACGCUGAGGAGCGAAAGCGUGGGGAGCGAACAGG